rnacentral:rRNA from 1 species
UACGGAGGGGGCUAGCGUUGUUCGGAAUUACUGGGCGUAAAGCGCACGUAGGCGGCCGAAUAAGUCAGAGGUGAAAGCCUGGGGCUCAACCCCCAGAACUGCCUUUGAGACUGUAUGGCUAGAACGUCGGAGAGGUGAGUGGAAUUCCGAGUGUAGAGGUGAAAUUCGUAGAUAUUCGGAAGAACACCAGUGGCGAAGGCGGCUCACUGGACGACUGUUGACGCUGAGGUGCGAAAGCGUGGGGAGCAAACAGG